UACGAAGGGGGCUAGCGUUGCUCGGAAUCACGUGGCGUAAGCGCACGUAGGCGGACUCUUAAGUCGGUGGUGAAAUCCUGGAACUCAACUCCAGAACUGCCUUCGAUACUGGGAGUCUCGAGUUCGGGAGAGGUAGUGGAACUGCGAGUGUAGAGGUGAAAUUCGUAGAUAUUCGCAAGAACACCAGUGGCGAAGGCGGACUCACUGGCCCGAUACUGACGCUGAGGUGCGAA
rnacentral:rRNA from 1 species